AUUCUUGUGCUCGGGCACGUACUGUCGCCAGUGAGGUCAUUACCGAGGCGCAGUCUUUUGCUGAUUGCAAAUUACACAUCCGAACACGUCUGUUAGCUUCGGCUUCCAGCAAUUUUUGGAAAAUCUCUCCUUCCUAAUGAU
rnacentral:snRNA from 1 species